rnacentral:rRNA from 1 species
UGGGGAAUAUUGCGCAAUGGGGGAAACCCUGACGCAGCGACGCCGCGUGCGGGAUGAAGGCCUUCGGGUUGUAAACCGCUUUUGAUUGGGAGCAAGCUUUCGGGUGAGUGUACCUUUCGAAUAAGCGCCGGCUAACUACGUGCCAGCAGCCGCGGUAAUACGUAGGGCGCAAGCGUUAUCCGGAUUUAUUGGGCGUAAAGCGAGCGCAGGCGGUUAGAAAAGUCUGAAGUGAAAGGCAGUGGCUCAACCAUUGUAGGCUUUGGAAACUGUUUAACUUGAGUGCAGAAGGGGAGAGUGGAAUUCCAUGUGUAGCGGUGAAAUGCGUAGAUAUAUGGAGGAACACCGGUGGCGAAAGCGGCUCUCUGGUCUGUAACUGACGCUGAGGCUCGAAAGCGUGGGGAGCGAACAGG